AGAGCGAACGCUGGCGGCAGGCUUAACACAUGCAAGUCGAGCGGGCGUAGCAAUACGUCAGCGGCAGACGGGUGAGUAACGCGUGGGAACGUACCUUUUGGUUCGGAACAACCCAGGGAAACUUGGGCUAAUACCGGAUAAGCCCUUACGGGGAAAGAUUUAUCGCCGAAAGAUCGGCCCGCGUCUGAUUAGCUAGUUGGUGAGGUAAUGGCUCACCAAGGCGACGAUUAGUAGCUGGUCUGAGAGGAUGAUCAGCCACAUUGGGACUGAGACACGGCCCAAACUCCUACGGGAGGCAGCAGUGGGGAAUAUUGGACAAUGGGCGCAAGCCUGAUCCAGCCAUGCCGCGUGAGUGAUGAAGGCCCUAGGGUUGUAAAGCUCUUUUGUGCGGGAAGAUAAUGACGGUACCGCAAGAAUAAGCCCCGGCUAACUUCGCGCCAGCAGCCGC
rnacentral:rRNA from 1 species